rnacentral:rRNA from 1 species
GAUGAACGCUGGCGGCGUGCCUAAUACAUGCAAGUCGAGCGAACGGACGAGAAGCUUGCUUCUCUGAUGUUAGCGGCGGACGGGUGAGUAACACGUGGAUAACCUACCUAUAAGACUGGGAUAACUUCGGGAAACCGUAGCUAAUACCGGAUAAUAUUUUGAACCGCAUGGUUCAAAAGUGAAAGACGGUCUUGCUGUCACUUAUAGAUGGAUCCGCGCUGCAUUAGCUAGUUGGUAAGGUAACGGCUUACCAAGGCAACGAUGCAUAGCCGACCUGAGAGGGUGAUCGGCCACACUGGAACUGAGACACGGUCCAGACUCCUACGGGAGGCAGCAGUAGGGAAUCUUCCGCAAUGGGCGAAAGCCUGACGGAGCAACGCCGCGUGAGUGAUGAAGGUCUUCGGAUCGUAAAACUCUGUUAUUAGGGAAGAACAUCUGUGUAAGUAACUGUGCACGUCUUGACGGUACCUAAUCAGAAAGCCACGGCUAACUACGUG